rnacentral:misc_RNA from 1 species
GAUGAAGAACGCAGCGAAAUGCGAUAAGUAGUGUGAAUUGCAGAAUCCGUGAGUCAUCGAAUCUUUGAACGCACAUUGCGCCCUCUGGUAUUCCGGAGGGCAUGCCUGUUCGAGCGUCAUUAUCACCCCUCAAGCCCGGCUUGUUGUUGGAUGCAGCGCUUAUCCCGCUCCUCCCAAAGAUAAUGACGGCGUCUGCGACGACUCCUGUACACUGAGCUUUCGGGCACGUACACGGCUAGAAGUCCAGACCCGGUCGCCGUCCCCCCCGCGGGGACACCCAUUACCACAAGGUUGACCUCGGAUCAGGUAGGAAUACCCGCUGAACUUAAGCAUAUCAAUAAGCGGAGGA